rnacentral:rRNA from 1 species
UGGGGAAUUUUGGACAAUGGGGGCAACCCUGAUCCAGCAAUGCCGCGUGUGUGAAGAAGGCCUUCGGGUUGUAAAGCACUUUUGUCCGGGAAGAAAUCCCCUGCCCUAAUACGGCGGGGGGAUGACGGUACCGGAAGAAUAAGCACCGGCUAACUACGUGCCAGCAGCCGCGGUAAUACGUAGGGUGCGAGCGUUAAUCGGAAUUACUGGGCGUAAAGCGUGCGCAGGCGGUGAUGUAAGACCGAUGUGAAAUCCCCGGGCUCAACCUGGGAACUGCAUUGGUGACUGCAUUGCUCGAGUAUGGCAGAGGGGGGUGGAAUUCCACGUGUAGCAGUGAAAUGCGUAGAGAUGUGGAGGAACACCGAUGGCGAAGGCAGCCCCCUGGGCCAAUACUGACGCUCAUGCACGAAAGCGUGGGGAGCAAACAGGAUUAGAUACCCUGGUAGUCCACGCCCUAAACGAUGUCAACUGGUUGUCGGGCCUUCAUUGGCUUGGUAACGUAGCUAACGCGUGAAGUUGACCGCCUGGGGAGUACGGUCGC